rnacentral:tRNA from 1 species
GCCUUCGUGCUGUAGUGGUCAGCAUGCUCAACGUAUUCAAGAGGUUCGUGGUUCGAGUCCCGCCGAAGGCA